UCGGGAUAGCUCAAGCUGGUAAGAGCAGAGG
rnacentral:tRNA from 1 species